UCAGGACGAACGCUGGCGGCGUGCUCAUACAUGCAAGUCGAACGAGAAGCUACUUCGGUAAGUGGAAAGUGGCGGACGGGUGAGUAAUGUGUAGAGAAUCUGCCCUGAAGUGGGGGACAACAGAGGGAAACUUCUGCUAAUACCCCAUAUGAGCGUAGUUGCGAUACUAUCUUGAAAGAUUUAUCGCUUCAGGAUGAGUCUGCAUCUGAUUAGCUAGUUGGGGGUGUAAUGGACCACCAAGGCGACGAUCAGUAGCUGGUUUGAGAGGAUGAUCAGCCACAAUGGGACUGAGACACGGCCCAUACUCCUACGGGAGGCAGCAGUAGGGAAUUUUGCGCAAUGGGCGAAAGCCUGGCGCAAGCAACGCCGCGUGAUCGCAGACGGCCUUCGGGUUGUAAAGAUCUGUCAGUAGGGACGAACAAUGACUGUACCUACAGAGGAAGCACCGGCUAACUCCGUGCCAGCCGCCGC
rnacentral:rRNA from 1 species